GCUACAGCUCGCAGAGUAGUUGCUGUAAGCUGAUGAUUUGCAGCAAUGGUAAUAAUGAUGAAAAAGGUUGGGAAAGAUACAGGAGCUGUGUUAUCUUUACUAACAGCAAGACAGGGGCUUGCCAAAGGGAUAAGUGCUGGAGACAGGAUAAGAACUGAAAUUCUGGGAACCAGGCAUGGCUUUUCACUGGGAUUUACAGCUGAUGUUUGUGCCUCUCCUAAAAAUGCAGAAGUUUAUUUAUCUUAUAAAUAGAAGUAAGGAGGAAAGAUUUGAAAGGAACCCCCUCCUUCCUUCCCUAGCUCAUGCCAAUGUAGUUAAUAUACUGAAAACUAGAAAUUUUGAGUUGCACAUGAAAGAGUUGUAUGCUAUAGCUAAGUUUAUCCCACAAGCUCAUGUUAGGAAAUCUGAUCAAUACAAUCAGGGCUGGUGUUGUCUCCUUGAAGAAAUCUUCGGUGUAUCUUCUUUCUGCUUAGUGCCUAUGAGCAAAACCCUGUUGCUGUCUUGGGAGCAUUAGCAGGAGGGAUAAAUUAGGCUGUUGACUUCAUAUAGUUGAUUAAUGUUUUCUUUUAAGACUCACAAAGAAUCUAAGUAAAGAACCGUGGAGGCUGUGACAGAUGCUGUCAAGUGAGGACUACUACCCUUCGUGCAAAUGGCCACCUUCAGACGGAGACAAACAAACCAAGGCUAGUGCUGACCAUUAGCUGGGUGGGAUUGUCUUGUAGCAAUAUACUGUAUCCUUUACAUUGUGAUUGAUAUCUGUAGUGCUUUUGUAUUUGAUACUGCUUUUGAAGUUUCUACAACUAUUUGGACAGCUAGGGUAAGAUGCAUUUAUUUAUCUGAUUUCUCUUUGCUUCGUGCCAUCUCAGCUGAAAAAAGGUUAACACAUAUUUGGCAUCUUGGUCACAUUCUUUCCAGGUGUUUGUUUGGUCAUUUAUUUCUUUUGUUUUUCCCUUUGAAUCCACUCUUGAUUCCAUGUUUGAAAUAUCCUUACUGGGCAUUAGCAAGGUGACCAUGUGAGAUUAAAACAAAUGGACAAGGAAAGCAAAUAUUCUACAGGAGAACAGUCCUCGGUAUAUGGUUUUUGAGGACAUACACCCACAGCAGGCAAACAACACGUGAGUUAAACAGUCACUUGUUAAUGAACUAGGACACUGUUCAUCGUUAGGUACUGACCUGCCUCCUGUGUUCAGGGAUCAUCACAAACCAGUGAGUCUGACAUUGUCAGGUUCAGACUCCCGAAUGCCUCAGAUCUCUGGGACAUCAGGACGCAGACGUGGUGCUUCAGGCCUGGUCGCUGCAGCUGUAGAUGGAUUUAUGGCUCGUGUGCAGCAUCCCAGUGCUGACAGUUCCCUGUCCUGGGGCUAGAGGGAGAGCAACAACUGCUGAGUGUG